rnacentral:rRNA from 1 species
UACAGAGGGGGCAAGCGUUGUUCGGAAUUACUGGGCGUAAAGGGCGCGUAGGCGGCCUCUUAAGUCGAACGUGAAAUCCCCGGGCUCAACCCGGGAACUGCGUCCGAUACUGGCAGGCUUGAAUCCGGGAGAGGGAUGCGGAAUUCCAGGUGUAGCGGUGAAAUGCGUAGAUAUCUGGAGGAACACCGGUGGCGAAGGCGGCAUCCUGGACCGGUAUUGACGCUGAGGCGCGAAAGCCAGGGGAGCAAACGGG